rnacentral:rRNA from 1 species
CCUACGGGAGGCAGCAGUGAGGAAUAUUGGUCAAUGGGCUUACGCCUGAACCAGCCAUGCCGCGUGCAGGAAGACGGCUCUAUGAGUUGUAAACUGCUUUUGUACAAGGGUAAACCUGAAUACGUGUAUUCAGCUGAAAGUACUGUACGAAUAAGGAUCGGCUAACUCCGUGCCAGCAGCCGCGGUAAUACGGAGGAUCCAAGCGUUAUCCGGAUUUAUUGGGUUUAAAGGGUGCGUAGGCGGAUUGAUAAGUUAGAGGUGAAAUGUCCGAGCUUAACUCGGGAACUGCCUCUAAUACUGUUGAUCUAGAGAGUAGAUGCGGUAGGCGGAAUGUAUGGUGUAGCGGUGAAAUGCUUAGAGAUCAUACAGAACACCGAUUGCGAAGGCAGCUUACCAAUCUAUAUCUGACGUUGAGGCACGAAAGCGUGGGGAGCAAACAGGAUUAGAUACCCCAGUAGUC